rnacentral:lncRNA from 1 species
AUUGAGGCUAAAGGUUGAGAACAAGAAAAACCAGCUGAGGAUACAAAAGGUAAUCAGAAUAAAGCAUAGCUAGGGACAAGGUCAAGGACUCCCUACUGGGCAAGGAACCACAGCUGAGAAAACUGUCGAGAAGAGAUGAUUCUUUGUGUAUAGAACUGACAAAUAGGUGGUUGAAAAGCUGCUCCUGACCACAGAAGCUGGAAGAAUGACACAGCAAGAAGCAGGCAGAGUCUGUGGAUCCACAGGCAGCUACAUCCAAGAACAGUCUAUGCAAGGGCAAAUAGUUUUGCUAGGGUCAUGCUAAUUUAUUUUUUCUACGUGCAAGGAGAGCAGUUGACAAAUAAAAUAACAACAACAAAAAAGAGAUGAUAGGAAGAGAUGGUAGCUGUGUGUCUAUACUUUACAAAAUAUCUGGAAUAUUCUAACUCUUGUCCUUAGUUUUAAUUUAACUUGAUUAAUGUAUUUACUUACUUUAUUUUUAUGGCUGUACCUAUGGCAUAUGACCUCUAUUAGGAGUCGAAAUAGAGCUGCAGCUGCUGGCCUAUGCCACGGCCAUAGCAACACCGGAUCCAAGCAGCUUGCUGCAAUGCCAGAUCCUUAACCCACUGAAUGAGGCCAGGGACUGAAUUCACAUCCUCAUGGACACUAUGUCAGGUUCUUAACCCACUAAGCCACUAUGGGAGCUCCUAGUUUUUACUUUAUAUAGACAAAUGUAAAAAGUUGCAUAGCUCUACAGAUUGCAUGUCACAUGUACAUUUUUUCAAUGAAAUAAGUUAUGUCCGUAAAAAUUUCUCUUCUAAAAGGUAAUAUCUUAUCUUGUAGAUGUCCUUAUUUUCUCCCAUCAACAACUCUCCUAUUUGUCAAAACAAUUAAGAUUUUACUCCUCAAAAAUCCUCUCUUUAAAAUCAUGUGUUUAGUUACCUUGUCACAGUUAAUAAACAACAGAGGCAAACUGUGUGCUAAAAACUAUGAUGAUGCUAAAGUUCAGAAUUUGAAUUAAUUUUUAAAGUAUUAUCUGUCAGAUGCAAGAUAACACGUUAAAUCUUAGGAAUCUGCUUAAAACUAGAAGGCUCUAUCACUAUUUAGUCAUUUAUUUUUACAUUUUAAAAACUUUGCAUAUAUUUUAUUUCAUAUCCAGAUAAAUGCUGGCAAAAUGAGACCUACCCCUUUAUUGAACAGACCCAACUUUAAAACAAAACAAGUGCAAAGUCGUCUUUUAUACCACGUUUGGAAUAAUCUGCAGAUCAUCUGUUUCAGAAAUAACUAUCUGUGUAUCUACGGUUAGGGAAGAUUACACACCAUGAAUUGAUAUAUUAAGGAGCAAUAAGGACAAUAAGUAUGAAUAUAAUCUAUAAAGAGUCCAUAUAAUUAAUAUUUGCUAAAGUGCUUGUUUUAAAAUUUGCUUAAUAGGAUUUAAGCAAAUAAAGUUAAUAUUUAAUUCUGAGCUUUUAUAAGUUACAUAAUUAAUAUGUCAUUAAGGACCCUUGUUAGUUUCACUGGGAAAUUAUCUUUUCAUUGCAUCUGUCCAGGAUGAAUACAAUUCAUUUUAUUGUCUCCCAUAACUCACUUCUUAUGGUUUUAUGAAAGCACAUGUAGUAGUUUCACCUCUGGCUCUACCCUGUGUUAUACUCCAUCACAAACUCAUUUAAAUAGUGAUAUUAAUGAUUUUAGAAAUCACUACAAAUGGUUGGCAGCAUCGUUGUCUUUAAUGUCUCAUGGGAGCCAUACAAGCGAGUUUUAUCAGCUUGAGGCUGAGGUACUUGAUGAAGUAAUAACAAACUAGCUCUGAAUUGUCUUUCAUUACCCUUUAUCUCUCCUGGAGAGAAUAUAAUCUUAUUCAAAUUAUAAUGGCUUCCUGUUAUCAAUGAGCUUUACUAUUUAUUUACCUGCAACCACACAUGCAAAUGCAUACGCAUUCUGCUUUUUCAACCUACCUGUAAUGAAAUUUCUUCACUAUCAGAAUCAUGCACAAUCACAAAUUACAAACUAGUUACUAGUAUAAUUUGCUUAACAUAAAAAAACUCUACUCAUUCUUUUAAUAUACUAUCUUGAUUAAAGGAGUAAAAUCCAAUCAUUAGGGUUGAAAUACAGUAUAUGCGAAACAACUUUUAUAAUAAAAUCACUAUUUCAAUUACGAAAUAGUUCUGCUUGGUUUUUCACUUAAGGAACUUCUGAAGUUAAAUUGUACUGAGGCGAACUUAGGUUAAGUAGAGAAUUGUUAAAGACUGCCGUCAGGGCAAUCACUUUUUGUUUUAGCCUAGUUAUCUUUACUUAUGACAAUAUUUUUAUGUGUGUAUAAGUUAGGUAAUUUCAAAGAGAUUUCAUACUCAUAUCAAUUUUAGCCCAUUAGCCAAUCUGUAAAUCAGGGUAAGGAGGUAUUUUAUGUAUAGUUAACAGAGGAAAGCUACAAUUCAGAGAUUUGUUUUGAUGUCAUAAUAAGAGAAUCAAGGCAAGAGUGUGCCCUGGGCCAUUUUUUUCCCUCUCUGCCUCAUCUGCUUUUUACCUUGAGAAUAAUUCUGUCUUCCUUGUCUCUCUUAAUUUAUUUUUACGAUGCAAUAAGUAAUUAUUGCAGUGAAGUUAAUAAUGAUCCGUAAAUUAAGCCCUUUUUUAAAUUGAUUCAUUCAAACAACAAAUAUUUACUAACUACUUACUUUGUGCCAAAUAUGGUUCUAGAUAUGGAAAGCAAUCCAGUGAUGAUAUAGAAAAGAAUUUCUGCCUUCACUCUAUUAUGUUGCAGGGAAUAAGUAUGUAAGUGCUAUGCAAAAAUAUAAAAUCCUGUAAGGUAAAGAGGGACUACUAGGGAUUAUUUUUAAAUUUAAAAAGUAUAGGGAAGUAGGCCCUCAAUGAAAUAAUAGUGGACUUGAAAGAGAAGAGAUAGUAAACCACCUUAUAGAAAAAUAUCAGGUAUUUGUAAUAAUAAUUUCCAAUGGAUUAUUGCUUUCUAUUUUGCAAAAUAUUCUUGAUAUAUCAUCAGAUUUGAGCCUACUGAUAACCUUAUGAGCUAGGCAGGACAAUUGUGACUCUCCCUGCUUUGACAUGAGAAAAUACCUUUGAAGAAGUUGAGAGUCAUAAACAACACCUGCAUUAAUUUUCUCCUACCAGGCCAUAGUUUACCUGCUUAAUAUCCUGAGGGCAAUGCACCAGCUUCAUUUGAGAUUCUUUCAAAUCAAUGAGCUUUCCUAAAAUUAAAAGGUUAAUGUUUCAAUCCCACCCUUAGGCAUGUAUCUAAAAAAAUUAAAACUCUAAUUCGAAAAGGUACAUGUACCUUAACUGUAGCACUAUUUACAAUAGCCAAGACAUGGAAGCAACCUAAAUGUCCAUCAACAGAGGAAUGGAUAAAGAAGAUGUGGUAUACAUAUACAGUGGAAUAUUACUCAGCUGUAAAGAAUGAAAUAAUGCUGUUUACAGCAACAUGGAUGGACCUAGAAAUUAUCAUACAAAGUGAAAUAAAUCAAGCAAAUAUCAUAUGAUAUCACAAGUGUAGCAUCUAAAAAAUGAUACAAAUGAAUUUACUUACAAAACAGAAAUAGACUUACAGACACAGAAAACAAAAUUAUGGUUACCGAAGGGGGAAGCUAGGGAUAGGUAUAAAUUAGGAAUUUUGGAUUAUCAGAUAUACAAUAAUAUGCAUAAAAUAGAUAAUCAACAAGGUCCUACUAUAUAGCCCAGAAAACUAUAUUCGAUAUCUUUUAAUAACCUAUAAUGGAAAAGAAUCUGAAAAAUAAUAUGUGUAAUUAAAUCACUUGGCCAUACACCUGAAAACUGUAAAUCAACUAUACUUCAAUUUAAAAAAAGGUUAAUAUUGGAAUUCCCAUCGUGGCUCAGCAGAAAUAAACCCAACUAGUAUGCAUGAUGAUGUGGGUUCAAUCCCUGGCCCCGCUGAGUGGAUUAAGGAUCCAGCAUUGCCAUGAGCUAUGGUAUAGGUUGCAGAUUCAACUCGAAUCUGGCAUUGCUGUGGCUGUGGUACAGGCUGGCAGUUGUAGUUCUGAUUUGACCCUUAGCCUGGGAAAUUCCAUAUGCCACAGGUGUGGCCCUAAAAAGCGAAAAAUAAAAUAAAAUAAGUUAAUAUUAUACUAAUCAAUGACAUCCACAAAGGUAGGAUCAUGUCUGCUUUAUUCACUAAUUUGAUUUCAUUAAGCUCAUUAAUGCCCAGAGAACACUGGGGUUUUUCCUGAUUCUCAAAUAUACCCCUUAUCUUUUUUCUCUUCUGCUUUCUCUGACUGGUAAGUAGUUAAAUACUUGCCUUCAUAUUCUGUUUUCCCACCUGUUCAUUUGACAUCAGAUCUUUUUUUACUCUUGCUCAUUGUUUCCUCAAAUUCUCACAAAUAUCUUAUCAUUUGGGUCUUUAUUAUAUUAUGACAUUCAGAUUAUUUAUAUUCUACCUACUCUGAGGAGACUAAGAGAGCAAAGAUAACAGCAACAUGAUAACGGUGUGGGUUUCAACUCAGAACUUUACAAAGGACAUUAUAAGCACCUUGUCUUCGUUGUGCUACUGAAUAUUCAUUAGCUAUCAAGUCAUCACACAAUCCCAAAUAUGUCCUAAGCAUCAGCAUGUAGAAAGCACUUGAAAUCAAUAAAAUUAGUAUUCAUUAUGUCAAGUUCUUUUCUUAGCAUUAAAUGAUUUAAAUACCAUUACUAUGAUCAUGUCUCAGAUCAGAAAAGCGAGGUAUAGAAAGAGUGGUUCUCACAGCCAAUAACUCACUACCAAGGUGUGGGUACAUAGUAUGAACCAAUUCACCCUAAAAAAUUCCUCUUUGAACUGUCCAAAAAUAUUAUGAAUAGUCCCUUAAAAUUACUAUAAUUAUAAUAUUUCUUUUGGAAGAUUAUGAAUAUUUCUAAUACAUUACACAAGUCUAGGGAGUAUCAUUUGCAUUAUUGUUACAUAAUCAUAGAAAAUAAUAUGAAUAUAUUUCCUUGGGUUGGGCAGUAUGAAGGUCAUUGUUUUAUUUGGAAUAUUUGAACAACUUAUAUUUUCUUCCUAAUUGUACUUUAUUCUUCUCUUUCUGACUGGUGAGUAGUUAAAUUCUUGCCCACAUAUUCUAUCAUUUCACCACUAGAAGGAAUGUUAGUAAAACUAUAAAU